rnacentral:rRNA from 1 species
CUGCAUUGCACCGUUUCUGCGAGUGGUGAACGGGUGAGUAACACGUGGAUAACCUGCCUCGAGGCUGGGGAUAACAUUUGGAAACAGAUGCUAAUACCGAAUAAAACUUAAUAUCCUAUGAUACAAUGUUGAAAGGCGCUACGGCGUCACCUAUAGAUGAGGCCGCGGUGCAUUACUUAGUUGUGGGGCUAAAGGCCUACCAAGACAAUGAUGCAUAAACGAGUUGAGAGACUGAUCAUGCCACAUUGGGACUGAGACACUGACCAAACUCCUACGGGAGGCUGCAGUAGGGAAUCUUCCACAAUGGGCGAAAGCCUGAUGGAUUCCCGCCGCGUGUGUGAUGAAAGCUUUAAGGUCGUAAAGCACUGUUGUAUGGGAAGAAUUGCUAAAAUAUGGAAUGAUUCUAGAUCGACGGUACCAUACCAUAAAGGGACGGCUAAAUACUUGCCACCAACCGCGGUAAUACGUAUGUCCCGAGCGUUAUCCGGAUUUAUUGGGCGUAAAGCGAGCGCAGACGGUUGAUUAAGUCUGAUGUGAAAGCCCGGAGCUCAACUCCGGAAUGGCAUUGGAAACUGUUUAACUUGAAUGUUGUAGAGGUAAGUGGAACUCCAGGGGAAAAAGAUGACAGAGGAACUCCAUGGUUAC